AUACGUAGGGGGCGAGCGUUGUCCGGAAUGAUUGGGCGUAAAGGGCGCGUAGGCGGCCCGGUAAGUCUGGAGUGAAAGUCCUGCUUUCAAGGUGGGAAUUGCUUUGGAUACUGCCGCGCUUGAGUGCAGGAGAGGUUAUCGGAAUUCCCGGUGUAGCGGUGAAAUGCGUAGAGAUCGGGAGGAACACCAGUGGCGAAGGCGGGUAACUGGACUGCAACUGACGCUGAGGCGCGAAAGUGUGGGGAGCAAACAGGAUUAGAUACCCUGGUAGUCCACACUGUAAACGAUGAAUGCUAGGUGUAGGGGGUAUCGACCCCUUCUGUGCCGCAGUCAACACGAUAAGCAUUCCGCCUGGGGAGUACGGCCGCAAGGUUGAAACUCAAAGGAAUUGGCGGGG
rnacentral:rRNA from 1 species